GUACGGGAGGCAGCAGUGGGGAAUAUUGCACAAUGGGCGAAAGCCUGAUGCAGCUAUGCCGCGUGUAUGAAGAAGGCCUUAGGGUUGUAAAGUACUUUCAUCGGGGAGGAAAAAACAAAACUAAUAAUUUUAUUUCUUGACGUUACCCGAAAAAGAAGCACCGGCUAACUCCGUGCCAGCAGCCGCGGUAAUACGGAGGGUGCUAGCGUUAAUCAGAAUUACUGGGCGUAAAGAGCACGUAGGUGGUUUUUUUAAGUCAGAUGUGAAAUCCCUGGGCUUAACCUAGGAACUGCAUUUUGAAACUGAAAUACUAGAGUAUCGUAGAGGGAGGUAGAAUUCUAGGUGUAGCGGUGAAAUGCGUAGAUAUCUGGAGGAAUACCUGUGGCGAAAGCGGCCUCCUAAACGAAUACUGACACUGAGGGUGCGAAAGCGUGGGGGAGCAAACAGGGAUUAGAUACC
rnacentral:rRNA from 1 species